GAGAGGGGGGUGUGCCCUCCCUUUGCUGCUGAGCUUUGCAGCAGAGUGUGCAGGGACAGCACCAUGCAUGCCUGGAGUUAUUGCCAGUGCUCAGCAGCAUGGAAACAAACCUGAGGUCUUCUAAAUCCAAGAUUCUGUAAGAAAAGCUUCAGUGAGAGUGGUUCUGACCAAGCAGCAGCCUGGAAAACUCUCUCAGCAAGGAAUGUGUGCGCAGGGGAGCUGCGAUGGGUGGAUGGCAGCUGACUGGCAUUAGUCAGCUCUCUCACUGCUCCCACUCCCAAGGACCUAAGGCUUUACAGAGACUUCUCUCCUCUCAGCAUUGGCCUCCCUGGACCCAGCAGAAGUGGAAAAACCACUCAAAUAUUUAUUAAAAAACCCUGAUGUUCUUACAGGACUCACCGAAAUCCUGGAUACUUUUCUGUUUGGUCCUGACAGACAAUUAAUGUCUUCAGAACACUUCCACAAGGAGCUGGAUGGUAUCCACCCUGGCUUUGGGGGAUUCUGGCAGAGGUUGUGUGUUGCUGUUGCAACAUUCCGUUGUCACGCCAGCGGAAUUCUGGGCUCCACAUCACAAAGGACCAAGACGUGACCUUGUGUGGCACCAGGGCGAGUGCAGCGUGCCUUUAUCUCUGUGGGGAGGGUGUGCACGACCAGAAUGGGAGGGGUCUGAGGACUGUAUAAACCACAGGACUGCUCACCACCUGGCUAGAGGUGUCACUGUCCUCUAAUUAAGGCAUGGGCGUCACAGGUCCCUUGGAGAGCACUUGUCUCAUGGGAUGCUUGAGGACUCCUGCAUUGAGGUCACAGGGUGGAUCCAGCCCUGCUCACACCAACAGUGUCACAGUUCCCUCUGUCACAUGGCAGCCAUCACCCAAAGGGACACCUGAAUGCUCGUGACAUGCUACACCUGCUCACACAUGGCUGUGGGAUUCCUGUAAAUGUGGGAUUUGGGGGCAUUUUGGCAGCUCUCUUAAUCUGCCUUCUACUGACGUAUACAAAAAACGAGAGACCAGACCAGAGCCUUUUAUCCAGACAUUUCUCAGCUUUGAAGAUGUUUCUGCAAUACCAAGAAUUGCCAAUCACAUGGGCAGAACUGGAUAGUUCUGGUCCUCGGGAACCACGAGCCUGGAAUCUGAGGGAGGUGGUUCAUUCCUGCAGCGGGUGAUCCCCAUUGUGACAUGUAUUUUAUUGAGGAGGAGGCUGGGAUGGUCCUGCUGGGUUCUGGCUUUGUGCAGUGCUUGGAGGGUGGUUGUUGGAGAUCUCCAGCAGUGACUAACAGGCACUGGAUAUACCCAAAUAACAGCGUGAAGUGGUAACCUGGCAAUCAGCACGUC
rnacentral:lncRNA from 1 species